GGGUAUUUAGUAUUUUUAGGAUUAAACAUAAAAUAAAAUUAUGCAUUUAACUGAAUAAACGUCGCUUAAUUAGGGCAUUUAAGAAACGUCGCUUAUGAGACACGUGUUGGAUCCACGUCUCUUUCUCUCUCCGUUUGCAGGGUUCACCAUCGUCGUUCUGCUACUUUCAUCUUUGUCCAUGGCUUGAUUCAUCAGAUGUCUGAGAAGAACCAUCUUCUCCAGUUCGUCCCUCUCUGUUUUAGGGAUUGAUCACUUUAAUUGGAUAUGUUUGCAGUCUCCUAGCAGUUAUGGUGAGUGAUGAUUGGAUAUUCUCGGUCUAAAUUUGUUUUUGAUUAUGUUGGAAAGGAACUUCGUCAAGGCUCUGGACAUUAACUAAAAGACUAGACUGAGAGGAGAACCAACUGUAGAUUGCGUAUCAAGCAUGUAGUUGUAUUGUAAGUUUCCACUCGUCUUUUUUUUUUUUUUUUUUGGCACAAAAGUUUCCUCUCUUGUCUUAUUGCUCAUUUUAUCAUCAAUUGUUUUGUCUUGAUGUUUUCUGAAAAAUCUUUGCUUGCUUGUCUUUGUUCUGUUUUUGUUCUUGGUUUAAUUUUUUAUUUUAAGAAUCCCUAAACAAACAAGAGGCUCCCAUUGGAGCACAAAAUCAAGUCGUUUCUUAACUAAGGUUCUUAAUUACAUUUAAUUACUAAAAUAAUCAUUAAAAGAUCAUAAGUGGGGUUGUGGGUUAAUGAUGCUCUUAUGUUGUCACGUUUCAAUCAUGUUAUUGUUUUUUUUUUUUUCUAUUUCUACUUGAAGUUAAAAAUUCAGCGGGAUGAUCCAUCUGGAUGUAACAUUAUAAUGCACAAAAAGAACAUCGAUUUGCAUCCUUCACUCAGAUGGAUCGUCAGCAAACCAAAACAGGGCCUAUAAGUAUUAGCUGAGCUGGUGGAAACAUGUGUCUCUUCAAACCAGGUUUGGAGGCAGGGGAUGAGAUGGCUAAUCUGGAUCUGUCUUCUCGAAAAAUGGAACUCUUUGUCUAAAUAGAAUUUGGAGAAGCCACUCUACAUUUUUGCCAAUACAUUAUCUCCCAUAAACUUGAUUUUAUAUAAUGAGUCGAUAAAUAUACGUAUUAAAUGAAACAGUAUAAAUAUAGCUUUUAGCUGCUAUGAAUUCUCUUGGGAGGCUG
rnacentral:lncRNA from 1 species